AUGACAUGCGUAAUCGCUGAGUUUCCCUACUGUUAUCUCAGUUCUUUGUGUGUUGCUCUUGCAGAAACUGGUCUCAGGAGAAAGAGCACGGCCACCCCCCGAAGGAAGAUCACAAAACACUACUGAAUCUCCACCACUGGGUUAAAAAGUUACAUUGUCACAGAGAAUACUCAAGUGGGCGUAACCGGCUGUUACUCUGAUAUCCCCCCAGGCUCUCGACCGACCCGGCAACCAAAUACUCAACACUCCAUGUCUGAGAAUGAAGAUGUUGAUAUGGAUUCGGGGAGUGAAUCCGAACUUUCGGCGAGUGAUACCUCUUACAGAAAAGAGGGAUAUGAUGAUUAUUACAACAGAAACAGACGCCAGAAGUAUUCAAGUGAGCUAGAGACGUCCAUGGACAAUCCAGACCUUCAUAUCUCUGAAGGAGGCUCGAGUGAAUCUGAAAGUCUUGAAGAACCCGAUCAGUUCAGUGAAGAUGCCGAUCCCGACUUGGGCUUAUAUGGUCGUAGGGCUAGGAGGGGACGUCAGUCCAUUGGCAGGCCAUAUAAUUUCGGUGCACGAGGUGGAAAAGGAAUCAAAAGAGGUCCCAGGAAGCCAUUAGAACCAAGCUUGGAGUUCAAGAAUUUACAUUCUGAGGCAACCUCCGCCUUCAUUGAUGCCGACUAUGAGAGAGCCACGGUUCUCGUGAAGCAGGCCAUUCAGAUCAAUCCCGAAAUGUUUGCUGCUCAUUCUCUUCUAUCAGAAAUAUUUCUUGCUCAAGGGCAAAAGGACAAAGCUCUUGCUGCACUAUUCAGUGGCGCGCACACACGACCGAAAGAUCCGUCCGUCUGGAUGAAAGUUGCGAAAUUGAUCUUAGAAAGAACCGGAGAAGAUCGGACCUCAGCAUUGCAAGAUGUAAUCUACUGUUAUAGCCGCAUGAUUGAAAUCGAUCAAAAAAAUUACGACAUACGAUUUGAAAGAGCCUCAGUGUACCGUGAAUUGGGCCAUAAUGGGAAAGCCGCUCAGGAGUACGAAAGGCUAUUAAAGGAUCUACCGCACAAUACAACAGCGCUCCGCCUUCUCGCAGAGACCUAUAUUGAUCUGAACGAAGUUGAUAAAGCAAAAAGUCGAUACGACGAAAGCAUCGCAUAUUAUAUGUCCCUAACUUUGGAGGAAGCCACCGACUUUACAUGGUCUGAUGUGAACAUUUAUGUUGAAUUUUUUAGCUAUCUGGACGACCAUGAACAGGGAAUAUUUAUGUUGAAAUCUCUUUCUAGAUGGUUGCUAGGGCGGAAAGAUAAUGUGGAAUGGGAUGAUAUUGUUGAAGACGACCGAGAGUUUGAUGCUGAACAUUUCCCUCGUCGAUCAGAGGUCGCUUUUUUUGUCCCAAAUAAAUAUCCGAUCGAGUCUUACGGGAGUGGCCUUCCCUUGGAGCUUCGCGUGAAACUUGGAAUAUAUCGGUUGAAAUUGGGCCUCCAGUAUCGAGAAGAGGCGUUGUCUCAUUUUUCGUGGCUAAACCCGGAUGACUCCUCGGAAGGCGCGUUACUCUAUGAUUUUGGAGAUCUGUUCAGGGAGGCAGGCGAUGCACUCAAAGAUGCUCAAUUAUACCAAGACGCAAUAUUUUUUUACCUUCCACUCCAGAGGACUCGCGAAUACGCAGAUACAAGUCUUUUUAUGUCCAUGGCUGAAUGUUAUGUCGCUUGCGAAAAUGAUGAAGCAGCUGAGAACUGUUAUUUAACGGUGGUCGAAUAUGAUCGGAACAAUAUUGAGGCUCGGGCGAAAUUGGCCAAAUUUUACGAAAAAUUAGGUAUGAUUGAACAAGCAUUAAAAUAUGUCAACGAAGCUAUUGAAUUAGGAAGACAGGAGUCAAUGCCAAGGCGAAAGCGGAAAUUUGGCUCUAGGGCUCUACAGCUUGCGAGAGAGUUCCGCUCAACGGAGUCUGGGGAUAAUGCACUGGCAAUUUAUGAGGGUCCUAUUGGGGCAGAAAUCGAAGACUGGAGAACUACCACUCCUCCAGCCAGUGUGCCCGGUGGCCUCGUGACUUCCGCUGCUCCCAUUUCUAAGAAGCGGCGGCAGGCAAAAGAAGAAUAUGUCGGCGCUGACCAUAUCAGGUAUUUGUACUCCAAAUUGCUAGAUCUUGAACAAGCAAUGAGAGAAGGUCAAGAGGAUGUAACGGAAGAUUGGUUGGAUAUCGCGGAUGCUUUGUUACGAGAUUUUCGAUCAAAUCGUGUCUUUUUCCCCAUGCAAAGAAACAUGAUGUUCUCGGGAUAUUCCAGAGAAGCCCAACGGAAAGCUGGACGCCUGAAAUCGACAACAAUCAUGGACGAAAUGGAGGAAAUGGCUGGACGGCUUCAGGCAACUUUAGGAACCCCCGAAAUUGAUCCUGCGACGAUCCCAAAUGAUUACCACUCUAUAUCAUUCGAACAGUGGCUGGAUAUAUUUCUGGAAUAUGCACUUGUCCUUUCUGGGCAAGGCCAAUCUGAAGAAGCAUACGACACCCUUUCUGCUGCAGCCGAUGCUAGCAUUUGGUAUCAUUCCAAACCCAGCAAAGUCCAAAUUUAUACUUGCUGGUUCACUUGCGCGCUCCGGCUGAAGGACGAAGAAACACUCUCCAACAUCUCCCGCUGGUUCAUGAAAGAGUACCAAUUCGUAACCGACACAUACCGGCUCUUCGCAACACUAAGCCGACUCUGUGGCGACCCACGAAAAUCGCUGUUCCAUUCGUCCCCCAGCAUGAAAUUCAUGCUGCGUCAAAUAAAGGCGAUUGAUUAUACCCUCCCAGAUGACCCGCUGCGACCUACCCAAACCCGCCGCACUCGAGCUUCCGUUUUCCAAGAACGUGCUACCCUUACCACCAAGGAUGCAUCUGGCCAACCCAUCCCAGCAGAAGACAUGGACAUCCCGCUCUUAGUGCUAUACGGACAUAUACUCUACGCCGGUACAAGCUUCACAAACGCCCUCAACUACUUUUUCCGCGCGUAUGCCCUCGCACCGGAGAACCCCGUCGUUCUCCUCUCUAUCGGUCUCAGUUACAUCCAUCACUCCCUCAAGCGACAGUCUGACAACCGACACUACCUCAUCAUGCAAGGAUUGUCGUUUAUGCAGGAAUACCGACGUGUGAGAGAAAAGAGCCCUAUUCCACAGGAGCGACAAGAGGUAGAAUUCAACUUCGCGCGGGUCUGGCAGAUGUUGGGCUUGACACACUUAGCUGUACUGGGUUAUCAUCGAUGUCUUGCUCUCAGUGAGGAAGUAGAAGCUGAGCGCGAGAGAUUUAAGAAAGGUAAAAAUAUACCUGUGACUGCUGGUGGUGGGGCUCCAAGUAAGGAUGUCUGGGUGGAAGAUUUCACUCGUGAAGCUGCCUUUGCUUUGCAAUGCCUUUAUUCUUUCUCUGAGGAAACGAAACUAGCGAAGGAGGUCACUGACAGGUGGCUUGUCAUUUGACCACAGGAUCUCACUGUAUUAUAUACGAUCCAAAUAUCAUAUAUCAGAAUCUAUAAUGUAACGAUGGAAUUAGAGUCCUUACUAUCACUCUUUAACUCAUUAACAAUACAACCUAAGGAAGAAAGACUUGUGGGUAUAUAGUUAUCAACUCUGAAAUGGAAUACGCUAAAAACUCAUAUACAACCGCUCUCCAAGUUUGCACCUCCAGGUAACAUUGGAAAAAUAUAAAAAAGUGCACGCCGAAGUCGGAAAUGCCGAAUGAAUUCAAGCGGUCGAGUCAUUACGUAUAUAAAAAAUUAAUCACCCAACUCUCGUCGGUCUUUCUCGGGUUGAUAACAACUGCUCAUCCUCACUCAGGCCAGUCUCAUCAACAUCAUCAAAGAAGACAGCUGACUGCCAUCGAAUUUCUUCAAGAACGCUGUUGCGGUGUCUUAAAUGUGGUCGAUUGUCCAAGUCUGGAAUUCGUGGGUUAUUCGUACCGUCAACCCGAUCCUGGGAUCGCCUAUCCAGGUCUCGCUGCGCAUAUUGGACAUCAUACUGAUCUAAUUCACCAUCGUUGUCGGAUGGGCCAAUUUCGGGGGGCAAAGGUGUAUUAAGCUGGCGAGCAGAAACACGUCCAUCCCGCUUCAGCGCCGCGGCGACCACCUUCUCCAGCUUCAUCCUGUUCUUGAUAAAUUGAAUCUUCGGGAAGGUGCUAUUUUGCCCUUCAUUUAUCAUACGGGAUAAUCGCUCAGGGGCAGGGUCAGUCAAGAUGUUAUACAAAUCGGAGAGUGUCGAUUUCGGCCAAAUCGUAACAAUCCCACUGAACCGUUGCAGCCAUAUUUCACUCCAAUCCUGACCUAGUGGUCGAGGAAGAAGUUCAAGAUGUCUGAGGACCUUGAGCCAUUUGUUCAAGUCCAAUUUAAUAUAUUGUUCUGUGGCCGACCCGAGGAAACCCCCGCGCCAACCGCGACCUUUGCGAUGGGUAACAGGACGACCAACGCUACCCCUGGAGCUGAAAAAGAAUAAACUUAUGUGGGGAUUAACCUAAAAGUAAUUCCUCUCAGCCGUCUAGCAUAGCCCAAACGGCAAAUGAAAAACUCACUUGAGAUACAAUCGGAAAGUUGGCAUUGAAAUGGAUAUCCAGUGCCUUCAACGGUAUGUCAGUUCGCAAACUACCGUCCUUCCACUUAUGACCAAAAGAGUAAGGGGCAAGUGUCCCAUCAGGCUUCUUCAUCAUCAACACGACAGGAUUGAGUAUCCCAGGAACAGCUGCAGAAGCAAUGACUGCGCUCCAUAUAACACAAUGGGGCGAUGUGAGAUAGUUUGCCAGAAUUGUAGGAGAGUGGGGAUCUGACGGAACGCAAGAGACGUUUAGAAUUCGUCCGGUUCGCUGAUACGCCUCCAAGAAUGUGGUGGAGCCCCUGCAGAACCAGCUGCAUUUUUCUGCCCAGUCGAGGGUGUCAAACCUAGCUCCCGUUCGCCACCAUCGCCGUAUCCAAAUUUGAAAUGAGUCUUCGCAUGCCUUAAUUUUAUGGGCCAGCUCUGGAACGAGGAGUUUUUUGAGCUCCUCGUUUGUUCUCGUGGCUACCAGCGCGGCUACAAGGGCACCUCCAGAAGUUCCCGAAAUGAUAUCAGGGAGUACUCCAUUAUCAAGGAGAGCCUUGACAACCCCAAAAUGAUAGUAUGAAAAUGUAGCUCCCCCAGAAAGACACAACGCCGUGCGACCGUAAUUAGUUUCUAGUUGCUUGAAAAACACUUUUUUGGUUGUAUUAGGGACAUCUUUGCUUGUAAGGAUAAGCCGCAAUGAGGUAUGUACUUCAUCAAUGAAUUCUUGAACCAACCGCUUGGUUCCAAUGUAUGUCUCGCUGUAUAGGCGUGGAUUCUCAACCCCAGCGAAAUUAUUCUUGACGCACCCUUCGAGCAACACACGGAGGUCUUCCAGCAAUGAGCAGAGUUUGGCACGAUCACCUUCACUGGUUUGUGUUUGCUCCACCUUUUCUCUUAGUGUCUCCAGUUGUCUUUUGACCCUCUUGACUGUUCCAUGGUCAUAAUAUGCAUAUUCGUCCACUUCUUUCCAUCUGUCAUUACCCAGAUAAGCAUCCAGCUUCUUAGCGGCCUCCUUCCAUUGUCUAUAGUUGUUUGCGGCUCCCAUAUGCCUUCUCAGAGUUUGUCUCCUUCCUCUCCAAGUAACGAAAUGUUCAUAAAGGUAAAUGUAUAGCCGAG
rnacentral:sRNA from 1 species